rnacentral:tRNA from 1 species
GCCGGCGCGCUGGAAUCGGUGAAGGUCGUGCUGGUAACGCACGUGGCGGGCAAGCCUGCGCUGCUGGCGAUCGACUCCGGCCGCCGGCU